CUUAGCUGUAAGCAUGCGCAUUAUAUACGCCUACGCUUUGCCUUUAAACUUUGCUGCUCUAGUGCAGAUAAUUUUAAUGAAAUGUUUCAACGAGCUUGUACUGUUCCUCACCAAUGCGGUUACAUUUUAUCGGAAAAGAGGGCGCCGCCUCAGAGGGCAGGCAACUCAUCGCAGAUGCAGCGGUCAACAUUGCCAUGACGAUGCAAUCAAAAACACGGUACAACUACACAAAAAAUCAGCUGAACACGAUAAGUUAAAGGCCGGGAGCAUCGGAUCGAAGGCACAGUAAAUGGGUCAAUGUCGGCGAGUUACUGAACUUUACUUGAAAUUCUCGACCGACGAACGCAAAAAAGGAAUACUUGCAAAAAUAAUGAGGAAAAGGCAAUGCGAAAAAUACA